AGGUGAAGUAAUCACAGCAGAACAAAGCAAAACUCCUGCAGUGCCAUGGAUGGUUUGCUGCUAAUGUUCUGGUUUCACUAGUCUUCCUCUGAGGCACCUACAGAAUGAAAACAAGCUGACUUUGGUUGGUGGAUACAAAAGAAACAGAAUAAAACUUCAUCUGGCAUGUCAGAAAAGGAUUACAAAAAAAUCAGAUUCUCUCUGGCCCUUAUGUGGGUAUACAGAAACAAGGUAAGGAGAAGACAGGACAGUUUUAACAGUAUGACUUCGAAGAAGAGACGUAACACGUAUUUUAUCAUAUAUUCUUUAUCCAAUAUGAUGUACACUGUGUCACCUGAUAGAUGUGUGUGAUCUGCUGGAAA